rnacentral:RNase_P_RNA from 1 species
GGCAGAGGGAGACCGGCUUCCGUGAGCGCACACCGUGCGCGCAUGAGGAAAGUCCCCCCACCCGCUGGGCGGGUGACCGGGCGCAAGCCCGGGGCGGGAGACCGUCGGCGCUGGAACAGAAACGAGACCCCUCCACCCGACCGAUGAGGCGUGCGAACCCGGACCGACGCGGCACGAGCCGAUAAGGAAUGGGGAGUCGACCCGCCGAGGGAGGUGCCAUCCCGUCAGGGAUGGCCGACGGGCGAUCGGCAGACGCCGUUCGCUCGACUCGUCGCGCCCCCGGCGCGACGCAGACGGUGGAGAACGGAUGGAACGGCGAAUCCUCACCGGUGCAAGUCCGUGCCGACAGGUAGCCCGGUACCGCGCGAACGCGCUGGGUACGGACGCUGAGCCGAAUGCCGAGAGAACAGAAGGGGGCUUACUCCCCUCAGCC